rnacentral:rRNA from 1 species
GACAGAGGGGGCAAGCGUUGCUCGGAAUUAUUGGGCGUAAAGGGCGCGUAGGCGGCAUGGCAAGUGGAUGGUGAAAUCCCUCGGCUUAACCGAGGAACUGCCGUCCAAACUGCUUCGCUUGAGACCGGGAGAGGUGAGUGGAAUUCCCAGUGUAGCGGUGAAAUGCGUAGAUAUUGGGAGGAACACCAGUGGCGAAGGCGGCUCACUGGACCGGUACUGACGCUGAUGCGCGAAAGCGUGGGGAGCAAACGGG